AGAAGAAGAACAGAGCCCGUCUUGCUGCUCGCUGGUCUCACUAUCGUCCCGAAGAUUCCUUUGUGACAUUUAUUGCGACGAGGAGCCUCCGGCGUCAUCAUGGCCACGGCGGCGCGCACGUUCCGAUCGGCGUCACCGCCUUCUGAGCCAUCACGUGGUAUGACGUCAACUGGUACCUUGACACCAGAUGGACUGUCUCCAGCUGUGCGGUCCCAGGCUGGAAACACUCCCGACGGCAGAUGCCCUACCAAAGAGCGAAUACAGAGUCCAGCAACGCUUGCAAAAACAACGGGUAAGUAUUUCAGCACUGCGAUAUUGCAGACAUUCAUCUAGGUACACGGUUGCAUUGUGAAUA